GGAUCAUUCUCAAGGGCUUUAUUAAUCCAGUUGACAAAGGCAUACUUUUCUUCUUCUGCAUAUAUAAUGGGGUUCCAUGUAAUUUUACCUCAAAAUUGGAAUCAGCACGAUAGCACAAGAUCCUCACAUUUGGAGGCAUUUGUAGACUCUCGCAGGGGUCAGUCUGCCGACAGCGCAAGGGAUAGGUCUUCACACAACUACACCAAGCCAUUCAAGACCAAGAAGAAGAGUAUCUCCCCUUCCAAGUAAGUAAA